rnacentral:rRNA from 1 species
UACGGGGGGGGCAAGCGUUGUUCGGAAUUACUGGGCGUAAAGGGCUCGUAGGUGGCCAACUAAGUCAGACGUGAAAUCCCCAGGCUCAACUUGGGAACUGCGUCUGAUACUGGAUGGCUUGAAUUCGGGAGAGGGAUGCAGAAUUCCAGGUGUAGCGGUGAAGUGACGUAGAUAUCUGGAGGAAUACCGGUGGCGAAGGCGGCAUCCUGGACCGAGAUUGACACUGAUGAGCGAAAGCUAGGGAGCAAACGGG